rnacentral:rRNA from 1 species
GACGAACGCUGGCGGCGUGCCUAAUACAUGCAAGUCGAACGCUUUUUCUUUCACCGGAGCUUGCUCCACCGAAAGAAAAAGAGUGGCGAACGGGUGAGUAACACGUGGGUAACCUGCCCAUCAGAAGGGGAUAACACUUGGAAACAGGUGCUAAUACCGUAUAACACUAUUUUCCGCAUGGAAGAGAGUUGAAAGGCGCUUUUGCGUCACUGAUGGAUGGACCCGCGGUGCAUUAGCUAGUUGGUGAGGUAACGGCUCACCAAGGCAACGAUGCAUAGUCGACCUGAGAGGGUGCUCGGACACACUGGGACUGAGACACGGCCCAGACUCCUACGGGAGGAAGCAGUAGGGAAUCUUCGGCAAUGGACGAAAGUCUGACCGAGCAACGCCGCGUGAGUGAAGAAGGUUUUCGGAUCGUAAAACUCUGUUGUUAGAGAAGAACAAGGAUGAGAGUAGAACGUUCAUCCCUUGACGGUAUCUAACCAGAAAGCCACGGCUAACUACGUGCCAGCCACCGCCGUAA